GGGGAACAAAGUACUUUGGCCUCUCAAAUCCAUGUUUCUCCAUCCACCUGGCUCCCUGUGCAUCCAGCCGGUCGUAGAGAGGAGAGAAUGAAACAAGGUCCGAUGCACUAAAGAAAAUGUUACGUAUAUAUCAUGAGGAGCAUAAAGCCCCUUAACUCAGGCCUGAAACAGUCAAAUCAAAUGCCCAACUCAAAGCACUUGUUAAAGAACUGAGGAAAACUUUGCUCCUUCUGAAUGACAACACGGGCCACCGAGAAGAUACCUGCAACUAGGAGCAACUGCGAUAAAGCUUCACUUACG
rnacentral:lncRNA from 1 species